rnacentral:piRNA from 1 species
UGCCACUACCUUUGGUCAGAGCAACUGUGCUU